rnacentral:rRNA from 1 species
GCCCAAGAGAUCGGGAUAACACCUGGAAACAGAUGCUAAUACCGGAUAACAACAGAUGAUGCCUAUCAACUGUUUAAAAGAUGGUUCUGCUAUCACUCUUGGAUGGACCUGCGGUGCAUUAGCUAGUUUGUAGGGUAACGGCCUACCAAGGCGAUGAUGCAUAGCCGAGUUGAGAGACUGAUCGGCCACAUUGGGACUGAGACACGGCCCAAACUCCUACGGGAGGCAGCAGUG